rnacentral:rRNA from 1 species
UACGAAGGGGGCUAGCGUUGCUCGGAAUUACUGGGCGUAAAGCGCACGUAGGCGGCUUUCUAAGUCGGGGGUGAAAUCCUGGAGCUCAACUCCAGAACUGCCUUCGAUACUGGAGAGCUCGAGUCCGGGAGAGGUGAGUGGAACUGCGAGUGUAGAGGUGAAAUUCGUAGAUAUUCGCAAGAACACCAGUGGCGAAGGCGGCUCACUGGCCCGGUACUGACGCUUAAGAGCGAAAGCGUGGGGAGCAAACAGG